rnacentral:rRNA from 1 species
AGAGUUUGAUCAUGGCUCAGGAUGAACGCUAGCUACAGGCUUAACACAUGCAAGUCGAGGGGCAGCAUGUUGGUUGCUUGCAACCAAUGAUGGCGACCGGCGCACGGGUGAGUAACGCGUAUCCAACCUACCCUUGUCCAUCGGAUAACCCGUCGAAAGGCGGCCUAACACGAUAUGCGGUUCACAGCAGGCAUCUAAGGUGAACGAAAUGUGAAGGAGAAGGAUGGGGAUGCGUCUGAUUAGCUUGUUGGCGGGGCAACGGCCACCAAGGCUACGAUCAGUAGGGGUUCUGAGAGGAAGUCCCCCANAUUGGAACUGAGACACGGUCCAAACUCCUACGGGAGGCA